UACGUAGGGUCCGAGCGUUGUCCGGAAUUACUGGGCGUAAAGAGCUCGUCGGUGGUUUGUCGCGUUGUUCGUGAAAACUCACAGCUUAACUGUGGGCGUGCGGGCGAUACGGGCAGACUGGAGUACUGCAGGGGAGACUGGAAUUCCUGGUGUAGCGGUGGAAUGCGCAGAUAUCAGGAGGAACACCGGUGGCGAAGGCGGGUCUCUGGGCAGUAACUGACGCUGAGGAGCGAAAGCGUGGGGAGCAAACAGG
rnacentral:rRNA from 1 species